rnacentral:lncRNA from 1 species
AGGUGAUUUAGUUAGACUCAGUCUCAACAUAAAAGUAAAAUGAGGAGAUAAAUCUCCCUGGAGGGUAUUAGCAUUUGUGAAGACCUGGGUUCAGUCCCCAGCACCAACAAAUAAGCAAGGAGGUGAAGCUUGGAGUAUCAUGUGACCUUUGUAGCCACAGAAGUACACCAGGGGUCAGCAGCCUUGUGUUGUGGAGUGGGAUCUGGAGGACUGGGCUUCUAAUUGGAUGCAGAGGAGCAGAUGAGGGGGAAAAAAAAAUCCAGAUUAUUGGUAUGUGAGGGUGUGGUAGUGUAUGCCUCUAAUCCCGGCUCAGGGUACUGAGGCAGAGAUAUCACAAAAAGGUUAGGCUAGGAAACUUAUCCGAAGCCUGUCUGUAAAAUAAAAUACAUGUAUUAACUUC